GAUGAACGCUGGCGGCGUGCCUAAUACAUGCAAGUCGAGCGAACGGACGAGAAGCUUGCUUCUCUGAUGUUAGCGGCGGACGGGUGAGUAACAAGUGGAUAACCUACCUAUAAGACUGGGAUAACUUCGGGAAACCGGAGCUACUACCGGCUAAUAUUUUGUACCGCAUGGUUCAAAAGUGAAAGACGGUCUUGCCGUCACUUAUAGAUGGAUCCGCGCUGCAUUAGCUAGUUGGUAAGGUAACGGCCUACCAAGGCAACGAUGCAUAGCCGACCUGAGAGGGUGAUCGGCCACACUGGAACUGAGACACGGUCCAGACUCCUACGGGAGGCAGCAGUAGGGAAUCUUCCGCAAUGGGCGAAAGCCUGACGGAGCAACGCCGCGUGAGUGAUGAAGGUCUUCGGAUCGUAAAACUCUGUUAUUAGGGAAGAACAUAUGUGUAAGUAACUGUGCACAUCUUGACGGUACCUAAUCAGAAAGCCACGGCUAACUACGUG
rnacentral:rRNA from 1 species